rnacentral:rRNA from 1 species
UACAGAGACUGCAAGCGUUAUUCGGAUUCACUGGGCGUAAAGGGUGCGCAGGCGGCCAAGUGUGUCAGGUGUGAAAUCCCGAGGCUUAACCUCGGAACUGCGCCUGAAACUACUUGGCUAGAGUACUGGAGAGGGUAACGGAAUUCACGGUGUAGCAGUGAAAUGCGUAGAUAUCGGGAGGAACACCAGAGGCGAAGGCGGCCACCUGGACAGACACUGACGCUGAGACGCGAAAGCGUGGGGAGCAAACAGG